AGAGUUUGAUCCUGGCUCAGGACGAACGCUGGCGGCGUGCUUAACACAUGCAAGUCUAAGGAGAAAGUUCCUUCGGGAGCAAGUAAACUGGCGAACGGGUGAGUAACGCGUAGGUAACCUACCCUUAAGCUCGGGAUAACCCACCGAAAGGUGAGCUAAUACCGGAUAAUAUCUUUCCUCAUAAGGGGUAAAGAUCAAAGGUGGCUUCGGCUAUCACUUAUGGAUGGGCCUGCGUCUGAUUAGCUAGUUGGUAAGGUAAUGGCUUACCAAAGCAAUGAUCAGUAGCUGGUCUGAGAGGGCGAUCAGCCACAUUGGGACUGAGAUACGGCCCAGACUCCUACGGGAGGCAGCAGUGGGGAAUUUUGCGCAAUGAGCGAAAGCUUGACGCAGCAACGCCGCGUGAUCGAAGAAGCUCUGCGGAGUGUAAAGAUCUGUCAUAGGGGAAGAAAAAUUCCGUUAUUAACACCAUCGGAACGUGACGGUACCCUAUAAGAAAGCCCCGGCUAACUUCGUGCCAGCAGCCGCGGUAAUACGAGGGGGGCAAGCGUUGUCCGGAUUUAUUGGGCGUAAAGAGUUCGUAGGCGGAUUAGUAAGUCGAUAUUGAAAUACAAUGGCUUAACCAUUGAAACAGUAUGGAUACUGCUAAUCUUGAAUUAUGUAGAGGUAAGUGGAAUUUCUGGUGUAGCGGUGAAAUGCGUAGAUAUCAGAAGGAACACCAAAGGCGAAGGCAACUUACUGGGCAUUAAUUGACGCUGAGGAACGAAAGCGUGGGUAGCAAACAGGAUUAGAGACCCUGGUAGUCCACGCCGUAAACGAUGAGUACUUGGUGGUGGGAGAUUCGACCCUCUUACUGCUGGAGUUAACGCAUUAAGUACUCCGCCUGGGGAUUACGACCGCAAGGUUGAAACUCAAAGGAAUUGACGGGGACCCGCACAAGCGGUGGAUUAUGUGGUUUAAUUCGAUGCAACGCGAAGAACCUUACCUGGACUUGACAUGUUAGUGAAACUUUGGUGAAAGCCAAAGCCUCUGCGAGCUUGCUCAAGGACACUAUCACAGGUGAUGCAUGGCUGUCGUCAGCUCGUGUCGUGAGAUGUUCGGUUAAGUCCGAUAACGAGCGCAACCCCUAUC
rnacentral:rRNA from 1 species